rnacentral:rRNA from 1 species
AUGCUGGCCAGAAAAAAAGCGAUCAACAUGAAACAGAAACGAAUGAAGAAAGAACCUAAACAUAAACGGCCCUAUGCGCGGACUACGAGGUGGCAUGUGACGGCGCCGCUUGGAGGGAGCGCACCGCACGCGCGCCACGCGCCCGCCGCCUCGGCCGACACGGUGCCUCACAGGGCUGCCACGCUCGGUUCCUCUCCUUCAUCAAAAGCAUCAUUUACUCGGACGCUUUGUUGCAAAGCAGCUACGCACAAGAAGACGGAGGGUCAGCGGUCGCCAAGCGUGGUGAGGGAGAUCGUGUACGGGAUGAGCCUGGGGCUCUUGGUGGGGUACUUGUGGAAGUUGCACCAUUGGAGCAACCAGCGCCGCACCCGUGAGUUAUACAGCCUACUCGACGAGGGCACGAUCUCCGUCGUCGUCGACGAGGCCGCUGGAGCCAAGGACUAUCACUAUCCAUAUAGUUUCACCUACCUACUAGGAGAGCUAGAACAGGAGUGCGGCUAA